rnacentral:lncRNA from 1 species
CUUCACCAUCACCUGCUCCACUCAGCCACAGUACCCAGGAGGCUCCUUCCUCCUCACGUUCACCGGCUCCAACAGAACCCAGGCCCAGCCAGCUAUCAAUCACUCUGCUGCCUUCCUCUUCCCUGCUGCAGAUGACUCCCACCAAGGGAACUACAGAUGUGUUUAUGAGAAUUAUGUUUUCUCUCAUAACUUCUCCUCUGAGAGUGAGCUCCUCUCCCUCACCAUCACAGCCUCUCCUCUGCCAGCCUUCAUCAUCAGACACGUUGUAGUGCUGCUGAUCCUACUGACAGCCAUCACCACCUCCUACUUGUACUACAAGCCCACCAGGAGGCAGAAGAGAGUGAACAGGGUGAGCAGCAUGGAUCUUUACGGCAAUGCCAUGGAGAUGGUCUCUCUGAGCUCCAGAGCUGAAGCUGGACCGGGAGAGGAGAGAGCAGCCCAGGGGAUGGAGUAGGAGUAGAAUGAACCUGAUCCUACAUGCUGAUCU